rnacentral:rRNA from 1 species
AGACGAACCGUCCAAACGUUAUUCGGUAUCACUGGGCUUAAAGCGUGCGUAGGCGGCUUGGUAGGUGAGAUGUGAAAGCCCACGGCUCAACCGUGGAAUUGCGUUUCAAACCCCCAAGCUCGAGGAAGAUAGGGGUGAUGGGAACUUAUGGUGGAGCGGUGAAAUGCGUUGAUAUCAUAGGGAACACCGGUGGCGAAAGCGCAUCACUGGAUCUUUUCUGACGCUGAGGCACGAAAGCUAGGGUAGCGAACGGGAUUAGAAACCCUAGUAGUCC